AUGGAUAGACGUAGGAUUCAUGGUACAUUGUUUUCCCGUGAGUACAUUGAAGGUGUCAAAGAAUUUAUGAACUUCAUUCAAGAGAAAUUCAGCGAGGAUGAUAAAAUACUCUGCCCAUGUAGAGAAUGCCUUAAUCAUAAGUACCAGCAUCAGACCGUUGUGAACACGCACAUAUUGAUGUAUGGCAUGGAAAGUACAUAUACUCGUUGGAUAUAUCAUGGAGAAGACUUUGAUGUAGAUGUUAUUGAACAUCCUGUUGAUGUGCAUGACAUCGAGGAUGGUGACAACGUCGCUGACCGAUUUGAAAAGAUGUUUGAACACCUACGCACAACAGUAGAACAAGCUCAGAGUGAAACUGAAAAUCAAGAUGCUAACAAUGGUGGAAACCCUUCUGAGAAUGAGUCUUUUUUGAAGGAUGUGAUGAAGGAGGCAAAACGGCAGCUUUAUCAUGGUUGUACCAAGUUUUCAAGGUUCUCCUUUGUGGUAAAGCUUCUUCACUUGAAGUCAUACCAUAGGAUCCCGAAUAGUGCAUUUACUGAAAUUUUGAAGCUAUUAGCUGAAGCAUUCCCUGAACCCAAUACGCUCCCAAAAUCGUAUAAGGAAGCAAAGAACCUUCUAAAGGAAUUAGGCCUUGGGUAUGAGUCUAUACAUGUGUGCUUCAAUAAUUGCAUUCUGUUCAGAAAGCAAUAUGCCAAUCAUGACAAUUGCCCAGUUUGUGGCCGAUCAAGGUGGAAAGACCCUGCUAGAAAGAAGAUUCCAUAG
rnacentral:rRNA from 1 species